rnacentral:rRNA from 1 species
UACGGAGGAUCCAAGCGUUAUCCGGAAUCAUUGGGUUUAAAGGGUCCGUAGGCGGUUUAAUAAGUCAGUGGUGAAAGCCCAUCGCUCAACGGUGGAACGGCCAUUGAUACUGUUAAACUUGAAUUAUUAGGAAGUAACUAGAAUAUGUAGUGUAGCGGUGAAAUGCUUAGAGAUUACAUGGAAUACCAAUUGCGAAGGCAGGUACUACUAAUGGAUUGACGCUGAUGGACGAAAGCGUGGGUAGCGAACAGG